ensembl:lncRNA
GGAGGAGACACCGAAAAGAGGAUUCGUGAAGGUGUUGUGUGGGAGAUGGGGAAGGUAGAGGCGGUGCCCUGAACAUGGAGAUAAAGCAGACCCGCGGGGCCAGGGACCACUUUAAACCGUCUUUGCAACGCUUAGCAAGCAUAUGAGUCUAGAAGCUCUGGUCAGCCAGGGAGCUCUGUCCAGGGCCCAACAGGAGGGAGCUCUGAGCUUGCAAAUGAGCAGACACAAGGCAGCAGGUGUCACAGUUUCUCUUGGUUUCCAACGUUUCAGUCCAGAAGAAAGUCAGGCGCACAACAAGGUGCGGGGACUAUCUUGGUGUCGCUUCCCGGCCUGUGAGUCUGGGUGUGGCUGGGUGUGUCCUGAGGUGUGGAGGUCCGAUGGCCCUCAGUGAUAUAGGUCUCUCAAAUGCUUGGCUCUCUGUGUUAUAGUCACGUGGUCCUGAAUGGGGCACGUGUACGUGAGCUGGGGCACGGAUAGGCAUGGAUGCUUAUGUCUGUGAGCAUCUCUUGUCCAGGGGAGCCAGGAUCUCUUUCUGGGGUGCACGUUCCUCCGAGUUGUGCUCUCUUUCUUUCCUUUUGGCCUUUGGAGAUAGUGUCACUGUGUAGCCUUGGCAGCCCUGGGACUCAGAGAUCUGCCUGCCUCUCUCCACCUCCUGAUAGCUAAUAGAGGCGUGCGUGUGCCACUCUUCCAACUGCAGCUGUCGUGUCCUCCCUGGGCUGCCGUAGGGGCUCCUAGGACCCUAGCAGGCAAGGACUUUGGAAGGACUUGAAGGUUAGCACCUUGGAAGUCGGAGAGCUGAAACAGAAAGACCCAGACCCUGCUCCCCAGAUUCAAAGUCUUAAAACCAGAGGCUGGUAACCCUUACAGGUAGCGACUCUUUGGCCCAGAGUUCUCAAAAUGUCUCCAGCGACUCACUGAGUUUCCAUCCCACGUAACCUCCUGCUACUGUCUGGGCCCUGCAGCAAUCUCGAUCUCGCCACCAGGGCUAGUCCCACAUUGGCACCAGCUACUCUCUGGCCCCAGCAACAGCCGCCCUCUCGCGCGUGUGACUCUCUGCUGUGAACUCUGUUCAUAAUCCCAGCACCCCCCCCCCCCGUGGUUAUCGUCACAACUCCCAGGAUCUCGGUAAAAUCAAAACUCUAGAAGCUUAUAGUUCAUCGAUCAGUUUAUAUCAGUAAAUUCUCACCCCACAAAACAUCCACACAAUAAACCCUGAACCAAUUAAUAUUGAUAUAAACCGCCCACCUAGAUAAGAUUGUCCUGGGCUGGAGAGAUGGCUCAGCGGUUAAGAGCACCCGACUGCUCUUCCAGAGGUCAUGAGUUCAAUUCCCAGCAACCACAUGGUGGCUCACAACCAUCUGUAAAGAGAUCCGGUGCCCUCUUCUGGUGUAUCUGAAGACAGCUACAGUGUACUUAUAUAUAAUAAAUGAAUAAAUCUUUAAAAAAAAAAAGAUUGUCCUAAAAAAUCCACCCCUUAUAAAAUAUUCAUAGCUACCUGUGGGCCCUUGAAGGCCACACAGAUCUGGGUUGUCCUUCUCUGCCUCCAUCCUGCUUUUACUCCUUUUCCUCUCUCCCCUCUCCAAAACCCUGUGCCUGCUUUACUUUUUCACUGCCGAGCCACAGGACUUGCUUUAUUUUGUGCCUGCCCUCACCUGCAUAUAGACAUCAGUCUGUACCUAUAUCCCCCGUUCCCAGGUCAUAGUAGGUCAUCCCUCCUAGUUGGGAAGACCGAAGGUUUGUGCUCCACCAACCCUAAGUGAAUCCACCGGAAAGCCAGGACUUCAGCACUGAGGCAAAACCAGUUAGAAGCCAAAGGGUUCCUGUCCUAUCCCUGUCCCUUGUUCAAUAACCUUAGUCAAACAAUGGCUCAGUGUUCUCUCCUGGAGAGUGGGAACCCACCUCGUACUUUAAGUGUGGACAUUGAGGUGAGUGUCUGAGUGUGCCAGGCACUGUGCUCUCCACAAGUCUCCUCCUCCAGUCUCCAGGCCCAUCCUCUAAUGUGGAACUGUUUCCGUCCCACAUAGGAUCAGAGAGGUAGAGGUACUUGGCCCAAGUCACUCAGCAGAAGAGGGCCAUGCAGCCUGAGAUGCUGACUCAGUGGGGGCAUUAGAUCGAGGGCCGCUAUUAGAGCUCAGAUGAAGUGACUUGGAUCACCCAAGAAGGAAAGGUGAAGUCCAAGGGGAGAUUAGAUGUCACUAUACACCAAUCUCUUGGUUGUGGCCUGGCGUCUUCCUCAUUCCCAUCCAGCCUGCCAUUAAAGAUUGAGAACGGGUUGGAGAUUUAGCUCAGUGGUAGAGCCCUGGGUUCGGUCCCCAGCUCCGAAAAAAAAAAAAAAAAGACUGAGAACACAGGGG